UACGUAGGGUGCGAGCGUUGCCCGGAUUUAUUGGGCGUAAAGGGCGCGUAGGCGGCCACGCACGUCCGUUGUGAAAUCGCCCGGCUCAACUGGGCGGGGUCAGCGGAUACGGUGUGGCUCGAGCAAGCUAGGGGGCAAUGGAAUUCCCGGUGUAGUGGUGGAAUGCGUAGAUAUCGGGGAGGAACACCAGUGGCGAAGGCGGUUGCCUGGAGCUUUGCUGACGCUGAGGCGCGAAAGCGUGGG
rnacentral:rRNA from 1 species